ACAUGCAAGUCGAGCGAUCUCCUUCGGGAGGUAGCGGCGGACGGGUGAGUAACGCGUGGGAACGUGCCCUGGGGUAAGGAACAACCGCUGGAAACGGCGGCUAAUACCUUAUGAUGUCCCCUAUAGAGAUAUGGGGGACCAAAGAUUUAUCGCCCUUGGAUCGGCCCGCGUUGGAUUAGGUAGUUGGUGGGGUAAUGGCCUACCAAGCCGACGAUCCAUAGCUGGUUUGAGAGGAUGACCAGCCACACUGGGACUGAGACACGGCCCAGACUCCUACGGGAGGCAGCAGUGGGGAAUCUUAGACAAUGGGCGCAAGCCUGAUCUAGCCAUGCCGCGUGAGCGAUGAAGGCCUUAGGGUUGUAAAGCUCUUUCACCGGGGAAGAUAAUGACGGUACCCGGAGAAGAAGCCCCGGCUAACUCCGUGCCAGCAGCCGCGGUAAUACGGAGGGGGCUAGCGUUGUUCGGAAUUACUG
rnacentral:rRNA from 1 species